GAUGAACGCUGGCGGCGUGCCUAAUACAUGCAAGUCGAGCGAACAGACGAGGAGCUUGCCCCUCUGACGUUAGCGGCGGACGGGUGAGUAACACGUGGAGAACCUACCUAUAAGACUGGGAUAACUUCGGGAAACCGGUGCUAAUACCGGAUAAUAUAUUCAACCGCAUGGUUCAAUAGUGAAAGACGGUUUUGCUGUCACUUAUAGAUGGAUCCGCGCCGCAUUAGCUAGUUGGUAAGGUAACGGCUUACCAAGGCGACGAUGCGUAGCCGACCUGAGAGGGUGAUCGGCCACACUGGAACUGAGCCACGGUCCAGACUCCUACGGGAGGCAGCAGUAGGGAAUCUUCCGCAAUGGGCGAAAGCCUGACGGAGCAACGCCGCGUGAGUGAUGAAGGUCUUCGGAUCGUAAAACUCUGUUAUUAGGGAAGAACAAAUGUGUAAGUAACUAUGCACGUCUUGACGGUACCUAAUCAGAAAGCCACGGCUAACUACGUG
rnacentral:rRNA from 1 species